rnacentral:rRNA from 1 species
AACGAACGCUGGCGGCAGGCUUAACACAUGCAAGUCGAACGCGUGUGGCAAUACACGAGUGGCGCACGGGUGAGUAACGCGUGGAUAUCUGCCUUUUGGUUCGGAAUAACUCCGGGAAGCUGGAGCUAAUACCGGAUGGUUCCUUCGGGAUAAAGAUUUAUCGCCAAAAGAUGAGUCCGCGUACGAUUAGCUAGUUGGUGAGGUAAUGGCUCACCAAGGCGACGAUCGUUAGCUGGUCUGAGAGGACGAUCAGCCACACUGGGACUGAGACACGGCCCAGACUCCUACGGGAGGCAGCAGUGGGGAAUAUUGGACAAUGGGGGCAACCCUGAUCCAGCCAUGCCGCGUGAGUGAUGAAGGCCUUCGGGUUGUAAAGCUCUUUUGGCGGGGACGAUGAUGACGGUACCCGCAGAAUAAGCCCCGGCUAACUUCGUGCCAGCAGCCGCGGUAA